rnacentral:scRNA from 1 species
AUGCUCACUCAAUUUUUGUUCGGUCGUCUGCC